rnacentral:rRNA from 1 species
GAUGAACGCUGGCGGCGUGCAUAACACAUUCAAGUCGAACGGGGCAGCAAUGCCUAGUGGCGGACGGGUGAGUAACGCGUGAGCAUCCUGCCUGUGUGAGGGGGACAACAGCCGGAAACAGCUGCUAAUACCGCAUGAAGUAUUCGAAUCGCAUGGUUUGAAUACCAAAGAUUUAUCGCACACAGAUGGGCUCGCGUCCGAUUAGCUAGAUGGUGAGGUAACGGCUCACCAUGGCGACGAUUGGUAGCCGGACUGAGAGGUUGAACGGCCACAUUGGAACUGAGAGACGGUCCGGACUCCGACGGGAGGCAGCAGUGGGGAAUAUUGGGCAAUGGGCGAAAGCCUGACCCAGCGACGCCGCGUGAAGGAAGACGGUCUUCGGAUUGUAAACUUCAAACAACAGGGAAGAAACAAAUGACUGUACCUGUUAGGAAGCCACGGCUAACUACGUGCCAGCCGCCGCGGUAAAAC